UGAAACAUCUAAGUACCCCGAGGAAAAGAAAUCAACCGAGAUUCCCCCAGUAGCGGCGAGCGAACGGGGAGCAGCCCAGAGCCUGAAUCAGUGUGUGUGUUAGUGGAAGCGUCUGGAAAGGCGCGCGAUACAGGGUGACAGCCCCGUACACAAAAAUGCACAUACUGUGAGCUCGAUGAGUAGGGCGGGACACGUGGUAUCCUGUCUGAAUAUGGGGGGACCAUCCUCCAAGGCUAAAUACUCCUGACUGACCGAUAGUGAACCAGUACCGUGAGGGAAAGGCGAAAAGAACCCCGGCGAGGGGAGUGAAAAAGAACCUGAAACCGUGUACGUACAAGCAGUGGGAGCACGCUUAGGCGUGUGACUGCGUACCUUUUGUAUAAUGGGUCAGCGACUUAUAUUCUGUAGCAAGGUUAACCGAAUAGGGGAGCCGAAGGGAAACCGAGUCUUAACUGGGCGUUAAGUUGCAGGGUAUAGACCCGAAACCCGGUGAUCUAGCCAUGGGCAGGUUGAAGGUUGGGUAACACUAACUGGAGGACCGAACCGACUAAUGUUGAAAAAUUAGCGGAUGACUUGUGGCUGGGGGUGAAAGGCCAAUCAAACCGGGAGAUAGCUGGUUCUCCCCGAAAGCUAUUUAGGUAGCGCCUCGUGAAUUCAUCUCCGGGGGUAGAGCACUGUUUCGGCAAGGGGGUCAUCCCGACUUACCAACCCGAUGCAAACUGCGAAUACCGGAGAAUGUUAUCACGGGAGACACACGGCGGGUGCUAACGUCCGUCGUGAAGAGGGAAACAACCCAGACCGCCAGCUAAGGUCCCAAAGUCAUGGUUAAGUGGGAAACGAUGUGGGAAGGCCCAGACAGCCAGGAUGUUGGCUUAGAAGCAGCCAUCAUUUAAAGAAAGCGUAAUAGCUCACUGGUCGAGUCGGCCUGCGCGGAAGAUGUAACGGGGCUAAACCAUGCACCGAAGCUGCGGCAGCGACGCUGAUGCGUUGUUGGGUAGGGGAGCGUUCUGUAAGCCUGUGAAGGUGUGCUGUGAGGCAUGCUGGAGGUAUCAGAAGUGCGAAUGCUGACAUAAGUAACGAUAAAGCGGGUGAAAAGCCCGCUCGCCGGAAGACCAAGGGUUCCUGUCCAACGUUAAUCGGGGCAGGGUGAGUCGACCCCUAAGGCGAGGCCGAAAGGCGUAGUCGAUGGGAAACAGGUUAAUAUUCCUGUACUUGGUGUUACUGCGAAGGGGGGACGGAGAAGGCUAUGUUGGCCGGGCGACGGUUGUCCCGGUUUAAGCGUGUAGGCUGGUUUUCCAGGCAAAUCCGGAAAACUAAGGCUGAGGCGUGAUGACGAGGCACUACGGUGCUGAAGCAACAAAUGCCCUGCUUCCAGGAAAAGCCUCUAAGCAUCAGGUAACAUCAAAUCGUACCCCAAACCGACACAGGUGGUCAGGUAGAGAAUACCAAGGCGCUUGAGAGAACUCGGGUGAAGGAACUAGGCAAAAUGGUGCCGUAACUUCGGGAGAAGGCACGCUGAUAUGUAGGUGAAGCGACUUGCUCGUGGAGCUGAAAUCAGUCGAAGAUACCAGCUGGCUGCAACUGUUUAUUAAAAACACAGCACUGUGCAAACACGAAAGUGGACGUAUACGGUGUGACGCCUGCCCGGUGCCGGAAGGUUAAUUGAUGGGGUCAGCGCAAGCGAAGCUCUUGAUCGAAGCCCCGGUAAACGGCGGCCGUAACUAUAACGGUCCUAAGGUAGCGAAAUUCCUUGUCGGGUAAGUUCCGACCUGCACGAAUGGCGUAAUGAUGGCCAGGCUGUCUCCACCCGAGACUCAGUGAAAUUGAACUCGCUGUGAAGAUGCAGUGUACCCGCGGCAAGACGGAAAGACCCCGUGAACCUUUACUAUAGCUUGACACUGAACAUUGAGCCUUGAUGUGUAGGAUAGGUGGGAGGCUUUGAAGUGUGGACGCCAGUCUGCAUGGAGCCGACCUUGAAAUACCACCCUUUAAUGUUUGAUGUUCUAACGUUGACCCGUGAUCCGGGUUGCGGACAGUGUCUGGUGGGUAGUUUGACUGGGGCGGUCUCCUCCUAAAGAGUAACGGAGGAGCACGAAGGUUGGCUAAUCCUGGUCGGACAUCAGGAGGUUAGUGCAAUGGCAUAAGCCAGCUUGACUGCGAGCGUGACGGCGCGAGCAGGUGCGAAAGCAGGUCAUAGUGAUCCGGUGGUUCUGAAUGGAAGGGCCAUCGCUCAACGGAUAAAAGGUACUCCGGGGAUAACAGGCUGAUACCGCCCAAGAGUUCAUAUCGACGGCGGUGUUUGGCACCUCGAUGUCGGCUCAUCACAUCCUGGGGCUGAAGUAGGUCCCAAGGGUAUGGCUGUUCGCCAUUUAAAGUGGUACGCGAGCUGGGUUUAGAACGUCGUGAGACAGUUCGGUCCCUAUCUGCCGUGGGCGCUGGAGAACUGAGGGGGGCUGCUCCUAGUACGAGAGGACCGGAGUGGACGCAUCACUGGUGUUCGGGUUGUCAUGCCAAUGGCACUGCCCGGUAGCUAAAUGCGGAAGAGAUAAGUGCUGAAAGCAUCUAAGCACGAAACUUGCCCCGAGAUGAGUUCUCCCUGACUCCUUGAGAGUCCUGAAGGAACGUUGAAGACGACGACGUUGAUAGGCCGGGUGUGUAAGCGCAGCGAUGCGUUGAGCUAACCGGUACUAAUGAACCGUGAG
rnacentral:rRNA from 1 species